ACGUACACUCCUACGGGAGGCAGCAGUGGGGAAUAUUGGACAAUGGGCGCAAGCCUGAUCCAGCCAUGCCGCGUGAGUGAUGAAGGCCCUAGGGUUGUAAAGCUCUUUCACCGGUGAAGAUAAUGACGGUAACCGGAGAAGAAGCCCCGGCUAACUUCGUGCCAGCAGCCGCGGUAAUACGAAGGGGGCUAGCGUUGUUCGGAUUUACUGGGCGUAAAGCGCACGUAGGCGGACUAUUAAGUCAGGGGUGAAAUCCCGGGGCUCAACCCCGGAACUGCCUUUGAUACUGGUAGUCUUGAGUUCGAGAGAGGUGAGUGGAAUUCCGAGUGUAGAGGUGAAAUUCGUAGAGAUUCGGGGGAACACCAGUGGCGAAGGCGGCUCACUGGCUCGAUACUGACGCUGAGGUGCGAAAGCGUGGGGAGCAAACAGGAUUAGAAACCCCUGUAGUCC
rnacentral:rRNA from 1 species